GACGAACGCUGGCGGCGUGCCUAAUACAUGCAAGUAGAACGCAUUUGCGAACGGGUGAGUGACGCGUAGGUAACUGCCUCCUAGCGGGGGAUAACUAAUGGGAACGCUAGCUAUUACCGCAUACUGUGAGAUGGACCUGCGUUGUAUUAGCUAGUUGGUGAGGUAAAGGCUCACCAAGGCGACGAACCAAAGCCGACCUGAGAGGGUGAUCGGCCACACUGGGACUGAGACACGGCCCAGACUCCUACGGGAGGCAGCAGUGGGGAAUCUUCGGCAAUGGACGGAAGUCUGACCGAGCAACGCCGCGUGAGUGAAGAAGGUUUUCGGGUCGUAAAGCUCUGUUGUUAGGGAAGCGGUAACUAAACAGAAAGGGACGGCUAACUACGUGCCAGCAGCCGCGGUAAUUC
rnacentral:rRNA from 1 species